rnacentral:lncRNA from 1 species
AGAAGGAGAAUGAUGCAAUUAAAUGAGGUCAAAAUUAAUCUCUUGAAACCUGUGCGAAGAGUACCCUCCCUAGAACAGGAGCAGAAAAUAGCAGCUUUGGUCACUUUGUAUGGUGAUGAUUGCAAUAAGAAUGGGAAAUAGUACACUUCCCUCUUGUCUUUUGCAGCCUCUAGAGUCAAUGAAUGAUCAUUUUGGUUCCUUCUCAGAUUGAGGAGUGAAUGACUAAUGUCAUUGUGACUGCUGCCAUCUAAUUUCUGCAAAAGAAUUCUCUGGCAGUUCUCAUGAUUGGCAUCAUUUCCCAUCAUGUGCAAGCUGUUGGACAGAGAAGACCUGCUUCUGAACUGUCGUGGUAUGGAGAAGAUAUAGAAGUACUGGGUUCCUAGAGCAGUUCAAUGCCUGCUGGGGAGAGGUGACAUUCAAGUGAUGAAGAAAUAGGAGUCUGCACCAUUCGUCAGCCUAGCGAGAAGGCGGCUCUAUGCUCACUUUGAAAGAGGGCAGUGCAAAAGUUACCUAGCGAUGUGAGUACUCUGGGCACGGCGGAGGAGCUUCCCACUGAAUGCGGCACAGCGGCACAGCUGCUGAGGAGAGCAUGGCAACAGCAAGAAAUGGAAUUCACUGAAGAAAGCGCUUGACAAGCCAUGUGAGAACCAGCGUGAGCAG